GAUGAACGCUGGCGGCGUGCCUAAUACAUGCAAGUCGAGCGAACAGACGAGGAGCUUGCUCCUCUGACGUUAGCGGCGGACGGGUGAGUAACACGUGGAUAACCUACCUAUAAGACUGGGAUAACUUCGGGAAACCGGAGCUAAUGCCGGAUAAUAUAUUGAACCGCAUGGUUCAAUAGUGAAAGACGGUUUUGCUGUCACUGAUAGAUGGAUCCGCGCCGCAUUAGCUAGUUUGUAAGGUAACGGCUUACCAAGGCGACGAUGCGUAGCCGACCUGAGAGGGUGAUCGGCCACACUGGAACUGAGACACGGUCCCGACUCCUACGGGAGGCAGCAGUAGGGAAUCUUCCGCAAUGGGCGAAAGCCUGACGGAGCAACGCCGCGUGAGUGAUGAAGGUCUUCGGAUCGUAAAACUCUGUUAUUAGGGAAGAACAAAUGUGUAAGUAACUAUGCACGUCUUGACGGUACCUAAUCAGAAAGCCACGGCUAACUACGUG
rnacentral:rRNA from 1 species